rnacentral:rRNA from 1 species
CACGUAGAAGGCUAGUGUUAUUCAUCUUUAUUAGGUUUAAAGGGUACCUAGACGGAAAAUCAAGCCAUUAUAGGAACUAAUUUUCUAGAGUUUUAUAGGAGAAGGGGCGAAUUUCUGGAGGAAAGUUGAUAUUUUGUGAUACUGGAAGGACGGGUAACGGCGAAGGCAACCUUUUAUGUAAAAACUGACGUUGAGGGACGAAGCCUUGGGUAACGAGAAGG